UCCCAAGUGGUCUAGGGGCUAGGAUUUCGCGUUCUCACCGCGACGGCCCGGGUUCGAUUCCCGGCUUGGGAA